rnacentral:tRNA from 1 species
GGUUGUGGCUCAGUGGUACAGCACUUGCCUAGCAUGUGUGAGGCACUGGGUUCGAUUCUCAGCACUG